GACACUCUGACCCAGGAGGCCGGCCCAGGCACCUCCUGAACAUCGGCAUUAACUCUCACUUACAGACAGUCCACAUGCCAUGUGCGUCCUCAGUUUCCCCAUCUGUAGGUCUUUUCCAGCUGUUACUUGUCUGGAUUCAAGGAUCACAGCCAGAUGCCUGCCCCAGCCCACCCCUGAGGCUUGGAGCAAUCUGCCUUGCACGUGCCACAUGCAAACACCCUGCUGGCCGCAGGAGGAAAAGGAGGCUUUGCCCUUCCGCAGCUGGAGCGUUGGAUUUUAAGCCACGAGCUGGGGAAGUUCUGGACUUCACGAGUCCUUCUCCUGCCCUUGGAAAAGUCGCAGAAUGCAGCUGUCAGGCACCAAGAGUUGCUCGGGGGUCUCACAGAUCCUGCUCAGUCCCUUAGAUAACAUCGUGUUCUACAUCAUCAGUUACCGACUGCCUGACAGCCGAGACUCUUCCUCCUCUAAAUCCCCCAGCAAAGGAGGACGGGAUGUGUCAUCUCUAUUGGUCUGUACACGCUGAGAGGUCUUUGAAAACAAGCAAAUUUUAUCUUAUUUUUUUCUACGAGAAAGGGAAGGAACAGCAUGUAUGGCUGGACAGUUACUAGAACCCAGUACGCAAGCACCUGUCUCCCUUGAGCCGGGCACUGAGCUCACUUCUUCAGAUCUGGUUCAGGAGAGAGUAAAGGAUUCCUGGCACACUGCAGCCCAGGGGACACAGCUCGGUGCAGAGGAGAGCUCAGAGCCUCAGGACAUGCCGCCGAGCCUUCACCCUGGAAACGUCUGAAUCAGGACUCCAGUCAGAAGAAAUGUUUCACUGAGAUGGGCUGGCUACCAAACGCCCACAGCGCCCCUCCUUAACAGCAGUCAGCCCUGGUCUAAAUCAACUGUGUAUAUCUUGCUCUAAAAAUGCGACACCAAUUUUUAUUUCAAAUGUGUACUUUUUCCAAGGUUAAACGUCUAACUGUACGUUGGGGGCGGGCACGAUGAUGCAGUCCAUCUUCGUCAUUCUCUUUGUCAGGGCCAGUGUCAUUUGGUGGCUGGCAUGAGGCUGCCGGGCGACGUCCACUAGAGACCCACUUCCAAGCAAAGCCAAAAUGGAUUUGUUGUCAACCUGCUGAUUAUCAUCCCGGCCUCAGCACUCCAGCCAGUACAAGGAAGAAAGACA